rnacentral:rRNA from 1 species
UAGCGUAUAUUUAAGUUGUUGCAGUUAAAAAGCUCGUAGUCGGAUUUUGGCUGAGAACGGUCGGUCCGCCGUUAGGUGUGCACUGACUGGUCUCAGCUUCCUGGUGAGGAGGUGUGCUUCACGGCCACUUAGUCACCGUGGUUACUUUGAAAAAAUUAGAGUGUUCAAAGCGGGCUUACGCUUGAAUAUAUUAGCAUGGAAUAACACCAUAGGACUCCUGUCCUAUUUCGUUGGUCUCGGGACGGGAGUAAUGAUUAAGAGGAACAGUUGGGGGCAUUCGUAUUUCAUUGUCAGAGGUGAAAUUCUUGGAUUUAUGGAAGACGAACUGCUGCGAAAGCGUCGAACAAGGACGUUCUCAUUAAUCAAGAACGAAAGUUAGGGGAUCGAAGAUGAUUAGAUACCAUCGUAGUCUUAACCAUAAACUAUGCCGAUUCAGGAUUGGCGGUCGUUUGUUCUCGACUCCGUCAGCACUGUAUGAGAAAUCAAAAUCUUUGGGUUCCGGGGGGAGUAUGGUCGCAAGGCUGAAACUUAAAGAAAUUGACGGAAGGGCACCACCAGGAGUGGAGCCUGCGGCUUAAUUUGACUCAACACGGGGAAAC